GAUGAACGCUAGCGGCAGGCCUAAUACAUGCAAGUCGAACGGCAAGAAGAGUAGCAAUACUUUUCCUAGAGUGACGUACGGGUGCGUAACACGUAUGCAACCUACCCUUUACAGAUGGAUAGCUCGGGGAGACUCGAAUUAACCCGUCAUAAAAUGAUUGGAUGGCAUCAUUUGAUUAUUAAAACUACGGUGGUAAAGGAUGGGCAUGCGUCUGAUUAGUAGUUGGUAGUGUAACGGACUACCAAGACGAUGAUCAGUAGGGGAACUGAGAGGUUGAUCCCCCAACUGGCACUGAGAUACGGGCCAGACUCCUACGGGAGCAGCAGUAGGGAAUAUUGGUCAAUGGAUGGAAGUCUGAACCAGCCA
rnacentral:rRNA from 1 species